AUUAUAUUUCCUUCGUUCGGAAAUACUUGUCAUUUAAAUGAAUAAAAGAGAAUGUAUCUAGAUGUAUUUUAGUUCUAGAUACAUCUUUUUUUAUCUAUUUUGAUAACAAGUAUUUUCGGACGGAGGUAGUAUUAC
rfam:Triticum aestivum genome assembly, contig: Triticum_aestivum_CS42_TGACv1_scaffold_220718_3B